UACGUAGGGGGCGAGCGUUGUUCGGAAUUACUGGGCGUAAAGGGCUCGUAGGCGGCCAACUAAGUCAGACGUGAAAUCCCUCGGCUUAACCGGGGAACUGCGUCUGAUACUGGAUGGCUAGAGGUUGGGAGAGGGAUGCGGAAUUCCAGGUGUAGCGGUGAAAUGCGUAGAUAUCUGGAGGAACACCGGUGGCGAAGGCGGCAUCCUGGGACCAAUUCUGACGCUGAGGAGCGAAAGCCAGGGGAGCAAACGGGG
rnacentral:rRNA from 1 species